rnacentral:lncRNA from 1 species
AUUGUGUUUCUGUAGAAUUCUUCGCCCAUAAUUUCACAAAAAUAAACUAAUUCUCCUGAAAAAUUAUAAAAUUCAUGCUGCAUUCUUCUUUUUUCUAAAUUCUUCAAAAAUAUCUCAAAAAUUUAGAUAUUGCAUUAUAUAGAGUUUUAUAGGGGAACAUAAAUUUCGAUUGACAUAUGUAUUUCUUUCUUCUCUUAAAAAUUACAUGUACUUAUUUACAACUCAAAUUUCACCCACCACCUUCGAUAUAAUAUGAUAUUUCUUUUCUGGAAAUUGUACUUCGAUG